rnacentral:lncRNA from 1 species
CCUUGUUGUAAUUACUAGGUAUCUCUCUUACAACUUUUUCUUAAAUAAUUAUAAUGCAUAUAGGUAAUUUUACAGGGUCUCAGAAUGGUCUAGCUAUCAUAGAUAUCCCUUUUCAGAAUCAGGCCAGACUUAUUCCUGGAGCCAUAUAUAGGAACUGUUACAGAUUCAACUUUAAAAAAAAUAAAAUUCUUCAGCUGUUCCUAUGGUAACCAAUUGGCUCACUGGAGUGAGAAUUACAGUACAUUUUUUCAGGGCAAGUUUUAAAAACAGACUCCACGCACAUUUAAAUACCAAAAUACUCCACUGUCACUAGUAGAAGACAAAUACUCUGUCUUUUGUUUGUGGUUUUUCUCUGAAUCUCUUCUCUCUCUCUCUCUCUCUCUCUCUGCCUUUCCUCAUGCUCCUGAUGUUAUCUGACAAAGCAGCUAUGUGCAAGACUUUAAGGGCUCCCAGGAUACACCUACAUCACUGUAGAAAUCCUUCAGCAAGUAGAAACUUUCUCUGCUGUAAAUCUAAGUGGAAGGAAGAUGACUCUCCUGACUCACAGUUCAGGGUGCUUCUUAUUUUCCUAAUUGUGGAGUGUGAUACCCACGUUGAUGAAGAAAAUAUCAGAUUACACACUAAAAAAGGGAAAGUUCGGAUCAUCUACAUGUACAUGAUGCCUUAA